UGAUUUUAAGUUGAGUUGUUUCCCUGUGAGAGAUGAGCAGCAGGCAGCUGAUCAGAGUGCGAGAUUGUGAUAGUGCGAGUGCGUCACGCGGCGCGGCUUGGCGAGGCUCGCGUUAUCGUGCAUCGCGUGCAUUUUCAUAUUUGUUAAUAUACUGUUCAGUGUUAACCGUUCGCUGCUGUGGUGGUGACUGGCGGAUGUGGUGGCGUGGUUGCAGUGUGUGGGGCUCGUGAACCACCACCAGGGCGUCUCCACAGCGGCUGCCCUUUGUUGGCGAGGCACCAUGGGCGCAGGGCGGGGGUGGAGGCGUCAUGACGAACCUGAAUUACAGCCACGCAUGCCCACGGGUCUGCCAGCACGCCCUACACCCAUACACCCUUUAAUACACUCCUGUGACCACGAUAGGGAGAGGAGUCAUCACCACCACCACCACCACCACCACCACCUGUAAUCAACGGCCACUACACAGCAGAGUGCUGACCAUCACCACCAGUCACCUGACGCCACGUGGUAAAGUUACAAGCUGUACGUGUGUCACGCGUCACCGGCAGGACUCCACCAGACGUGGCUCCAUCUGCACGGCGCGGCACGGCACGGCACGGACACAGCCACUCCGCCGCCUCCAGACGUGGCCGCCCACGCCGAUUCCAGUGGCCCGUUUCAAUCGCUGAGUUGUGACCGAUGUCCCGUAGCAGACUAAGUGCAGUGCGGUGUAUUUCAUUAAUAUUACCACGGCACUGAUACAGUGAGUGACAGAGAGGGAAGGAUUUAAUGCUGUGUAGCACAGCCUUCUUGAUAAGGUGGAAUGAAUAAUGGAUCGCUUGAAAGAUUCAAUACCAAUUGAGAAAUCAUCAAUGGAAUUGUCUAUCAAAUCAUGUCAAUGUGUACGUACCUGUCAGCGUGCUGCCCUCCAAGAUCAGCCUGAAGGCGUGCGCCCGUGGGUGAUGGGGCCUUGCGCGCCUCUCCCUACACACUCAUGUUUUUUUUCUGCUUUGUUGGUAUCAGGGACUUCAGUGGCGGGAACCCAAGCUUCGCGUAACACAGCUCUGCACACGUCGUUAUGCGAACUCUCACAGCUGUGUGAUGCUCCAGACAGGUCUUAGAAUCCCACUGCAGCAAGACUGAGCCGUACAAGACUGAUGGCAUCAAGGUUGCUUCAAGCAUUUUUCUUUAAAUAAAAAGGAAUGUCAAUAUUAUUAUUCCAGAAAGAAAAACAAACUUAAGGGUGUGGCACGUCGUGGCGUGGUUGUAGGCGUGGGCGGCGAUGGCAGAUGACAACUUGCCGUCACUUGUAGGAACAUUUCCUUGACACACGUGCUUGCUGCACCACUCCACCACCAUCUGGCCUUCCAGGAGCGGCUCACGCUCUCUCUCCGAGGCUUGGAUUGCAAAAAAAUCUUAGUUUUGUUGUUAUUUACAACCCUACCGCUGUCUGUAUAAAACUGAUGUAGCAGUGCAAGCUUAUGUUCCGUCCCGCGGCGCGUCGUGGCGAGGAGAGCGGCACCUUCCACAAGGACGAGCAGAUGCAGCCAAUCCAAAAUUCCGUCUGGAACACAACCAGACUUUAUCAGAUUUAUCAUAUUAUUUACCAAAUUAACGAACAGUACACAGAUGUUGGGGACCCUUGCCUGGCGCUGAUCUUUUCCUCUACGAGUGCUGCACCAAUCACACUCAGUCACACGUGCGACCUGCGCACCAUUUCACGCAACACACGAGCGAGGCACACGCUCAUGGGCCAUCGACAAAUCGACGAAGCAUGCAUAUAGUUUGCAUUUUUUUUCUUAAGGGCGACACUCCAAUUAAGUCUCAACGUGACGUGCUGAGUGUAGCUCCUGUCCUGUUUGCUUCCAGCCUGCUCCAUGCGUGGGGUGAACCACAGACUCAAGCGAGUUGGCAGCACCAUGUCAGACAGCUUCGCCAAAGCAUUGAUGAUAUUCAUACCACGAUAAUUCUUAGUUAGCGAUCACUUGCCUUUCUUAAAUAUGAUGACCAUACGUGCCCCCUGCCUGUGGUAAGAGUCGAAGGAAAGUAGUCUUUAACGACUCAAGCAUGAAGUUUAUCCAUUGGGCUGCUAACAAUUUUAUUACUCCUGGCCUUACACCGUCGGGGCCGCAAGCCUCACCUUGCUCUAGUUGAUGAGUCUCCGUUAUUAAUUAACAUAAUGUGAUAUCACCAUCAAGAACUGGUAUACUAGUUGCAAACACACACACACACACACACACAAACCGUGCUUCCCCGCACACCCAUCGCCGCCCAUAGUGAUGCCCAGCCUCGGGAGUUCCCCCAGCCUCCAGGGCUUUCCUCCCGACGCUCCGUGCCUUCACCCUUACCUGCAGCACUGAGCCUUGUCUGGGAGGCGCCACACACCACCAAGCUCAUAUAAUUUCUUUCAGUUUUCAUUGUAAAACACUGCCACUUGUCACUGUAUUCCCCCACACUCCGUAACCACUAAGAACCUAUUAGUAUUAACAUGUUUAUUUUCAGUCUCGCGACUGCAACAUUAAUAACCCGUUUAUUAGUAUUGUUA